CUCCCACGACUAGGGAAAAUAUUUAUAGCCUGAAGAUGAGCUCGCGUCCGAUUAGCUAGUUGGCGGAGUAAAAGCCCACCAAGGCGACGAUCGGUAGCUGGUCUGAGAGGACGAUCAGCCACACUGGGACUGAGACACGGCCCAGACUCCUACGGGAGGCAGCAGUAGGGAAUCUUCGGCAAUAGACGGAAGUCUGACCGAGCAACGCCGCGUGAGUGAAGAAGGUUUUCGGAUCGUAAAGCUUUGUUGUAAGAGAAGAACGAGUGUGAGAGUGGAAAGUUCACACUGUGACGGUAUCUUACCAGAAAGGGACGGCUAACUACGUGCCAGCAGCCGCGGUAAUACGUAGGUCCCGAGCGUUGUCCGGAUUUAUUGGGCGUAAAGCGAGCG
rnacentral:rRNA from 1 species